UACGUAGGGGGCAAGCGUUGUCCGGAAUCAUUGGGCGUAAAGCGCGCGUAGGCGGCCCGGUAAGUCCGCUCUGAAAGUCCAGGCUCAACCCUGGAAAGCGGGUGGAUACUGCCGGGCUAGAAUCCGGAAGAGGCGGAGUGGAAUUCCUGGUGUAGCGGUGGAAUCGCGCAGAUAUCAGGAGGACACCAAUAGCGAAGGCAGCUCGCUGGGACGGUAUGACGCUAAGGGCGCGAAAGCGUGGGAGCAAACAG
rnacentral:rRNA from 1 species